CUACGGGUGGCUGCAGUGGGGAAUAUUGCACAAUGGGCGCAAGCCUGAUGCAGCCAUGCCGCGUGUGUGAAGAAGGCCUUCGGGUUGUAAAGCACUUUCAGCGGGGAGGAAGGCGGUGAGGUUAAUAACCUCAUCGAUUGACGUUACCCGCAGAGGAAGCACCGGCUAACUCCGUGCCAGCAGCCGCGGUAAUACGGAGGGUGCAAGCGUUAAUCGGAAUUACUGGGCGUAAAGCGCACGCAGGCGGUCUGUCAAGUCGGAUGUGAAAUCCCCGGGCUCAACCUGGGAACUGCAUUCGAAACUGGCAGGCUAGAGUCUUGUAGAGGGGGGUAGAAUUCCAGGUGUAGCGGUGAAAUGCGUAGAGAUCUGGAGGAAUACCGGUGGCGAAGGCGGCCCCCUGGACAAAGACUGACGCUCAGGUGCGAAAGCGUGGGGAGCAAACAGGAUUAGAUACCCUUGUAGUC
rnacentral:rRNA from 1 species